UACGUAGGGGGCGAGCGUUGUCCGGAUUUAUUGGGCGUAAAGAGCGUGUAGGCGGCCAGGUAGGUCUGCUGUGAAAACUCGAGGCUCAACCUCGAGACGUCGGCGGAAACCAUCUGGCUAGAGUCCGGAAGAGGAGAGUGGAAUUCCUGGUGUAGAGGUGAAAUGCGCAGAUAUCAGGAAGAACACCCGUGGCGAAGGCGGCUCUCUGGGACGUGACUGACGCUGAGACGCGAAAGCGUGGGGAGCGAACAGG
rnacentral:rRNA from 1 species